GACGAACGCUGGCGGCGUGCUUAACACAUGCAAGUCGAACGAAGUGGCGAACGGGUGAGUAACGCGUAAUCAACCUGCCCUUCAGAGGGGGCCAACAGUUGGCAACGACUGCUAAUACCGCAUACUGACGGAGGGGAUUGGGUCUGAUUAGCUAGUUGGAGGGGUAAAGGCCUACCAAGGCGACGAUACGUAACGGGUCUGGAGGGAUGAUCAGUCACACGGGAAUGGAGACACGGUCCGGACUCCUACGGGAGGAAGAAGGGGGGAAUAUUGGACAAUGGGCAAAAGCCGGAUCCAGACAUGCCGCGGGUGUGUAGAGGGUCUUCGGAUUGUAAGGCACUUUAAGUUGGGAGCGUUACCAAAAGAAUAAGCACCGGCUAACUUCGUGCCAGCAGCCGCGGUAAUAC
rnacentral:rRNA from 1 species